rnacentral:misc_RNA from 1 species
UCUCCGUAGGUGAACCUGCGGAGGGAUCAUUACCGAGCUCAUGCCCUUACGGGUAGAUCUCCCACCCUGUGUUAUUAUUACCUUUGUUGCUUUGGCGGGCCGCCAGGCUCCGGUCAGGCUAUCGGCUUCGGCUGGUAAGCGCCCGCCGGAGGACCCUAUAUCCUGAUUAUUAGUGUCGUCUGAGUACUAUAUAAUAGUUAAAACUUUCAACAACGGAUCUCUUGGUUCUG